ensembl:lincRNA
GAAGGAGUAUAAAACAAAUCUACUAGAAUGAUGGUUGACAGCCAAAAAAAACUGAGGAUGCUGUGACCCCUCAAUGGAUAUGCUAAUCAUCACAUCAGAAGCACAACUAGCUUCAAAUGGAAACCAGAUUGCACUUGGUCACUGACGAAGCAGGAGAUUAAACAAGCUACACUGUGUCUCUGGGAGAACAAAAAGCCAAAAGGCACAUUUAUCAACUCUGAAUCACAUAGAUGAAUUAAAGCAAGCCCAAUGAUGUGAUAAUGGGACAGAGAAAUGAAAGAAGGAAAUCUGCUGUAAGGAAGCUGUGGAAAUGAAUGAG